rnacentral:rRNA from 1 species
GACGAACGCUGGCGGCGUGCCUAAUACAUGCAAGUCGAGCGCAGGAAACUGACGGAACUCUUCGGAGGGAAGGCAGUGGAAUGAGCGGCGGACGGGUGAGUAACACGUAAGGAACCUGCCUCAAGGAUUGGGAUAACUCCGAGAAAUCGGAGCUAAUACCGUAUAGUUCGUCGGACCGCAUGGUCCGUUGAUGAAAGGCGCUUCGGCGUCACCUUGAGAUGGCCUUGCGGUGCAUUAGCUAGUUGGUGGGGUAACGGCUCACCAAGGCGACGAUGCAUAGCCGACCUGAGAGGGUGAUCGGCCACACUGGGACUGAGACACGGCCCAGACUCCUACGGGAGGCAGCAGUAGGGAAUCUUCCACAAUGGACGAAAGUCUGAUGGAGCAACGCCGCGUGAGUGAUGAAGGUUUUCGGAUCGUAAAACUCUGUUGUAAGGGAAGAACACGUACGAGAGGGAAUGCUCGUACCUUGACGGUACCUUACGAGAAAGCCACGGCUAACUACGUGCCAGCAGCCGCGGUAA